UUUUAGUGUGUCUCUCUCAUUUGUUUGUUGCUUUUCAGCAGUUUUGAUUUUUUUUGGCAUAUGUUUGCGUGUGCUUGGUUAAAUAGACUCACUGAUUAUAUUAUUUAGUUCUAACUAAACUAACCCUUAUGAAAUGGACCAAUGAUUUCAAAAGAUUCCUGCAAGAAACAAAACUGAGGCCUGAAGACAAUACACUAAUCAUGCCAGCACAAGUGAAUGGCAAGAAAAUGGCAGAGCUGACGAUUAUCCUCCUCAUCGUAAGAGCUUUUCCGCAGCCAAAUUAUAAGGGUACUGCUUGAUGAGAGAGCUGCACAGCAGAUACUGGGGAGAUCUUUGGAAAAGUCUCUUGAAAGGUGUACAGUAAAGAGUAGGUGGUACUCAGAGAUUUCCUCACUGCCAAUCUUUGACUGGGAAGGCUAUGAGAUGCGCAAAAAUGGAGAGGAGAAUGAUGAGAAAAUGGAGGCUCAGAAAGGCUAA